CAGUAGCCGCGGUAAUACGAAGGGUGCAAGCGUUAAUCGGAAUUACUGGGCGUAAAGCGUGCGUAGGCGGUGAGUUAAGUCUGCUGUGAAAUCCCCGGGCUCAACCUGGGAAUGGCAGUGGAUACUGGCUCGCUAGAGUGUGUCAGAGGAUGGUGGAAUUCCCGGUGUAGAGGUGAAAUGCGUAGAGAUCGGGAGGAACAUCAGUGGCGAAGGCGGCCAUCUGGGACAACACUGACGCUGAGGCACGAAAGCGUGGGGAGCAAACAGGAUUAGAUACCCCGGUAGUCCCUGUCUCUUAUAC
rnacentral:rRNA from 1 species